rnacentral:lncRNA from 1 species
AGGCGCGCUUAAUUCGACCUCUUCCCACAGCUAGCAGCUGGCACACGUGGAACAGCCGCCUUCGACUGUUGCAGUUUGCAUACAUUUUUGCGUUCAACUGCACAGUGGAAGUUCACAAAAAGGCUCAUGGCCCCUGCUUUUAUAAGGUAAGCGUGGACAGAUUGACCUCUAUUGUGUAUGGACCAUCCACUUUGUUGGCUUGCAAUAUAUUUCUAUAUAAACAUUCAGACAAUAUAUAGGAAAUAGAAAAACAUGAACCUGUAGAAGAAUUUGUGCUUUAUUCAGUGAUGGUGUUUGGAGUAUGAUGUAUACAUUGACACCAUUAUUUUUUUUAUUAUUUGUAGCCUAUUUAUUAAGGUGAAAUGCCAGUCCACGAGAGGUUAUAGCGGGCAGGAGCUGUCUCUAUUCUCUACACUUCUUUCUUGAGGUGACGGCCAAAGGUAAUUUAUAAUGGAAUAAUGAUGAAAUAUGAAGGCACAAAUGAACAUUUAUAUAAAUAUAUAUUGUGUGUGAGGGAGAGGGAGCGGGAGAUAGGUAACUAAAUCAAACAUGUACAAAAAAAAUUGGUAUUUAUAUGUGAAGUGCCAUACAAUGAUUUUCACAUAUGUUAAUUGCAGUCUUUACAAUGAUGACUCACAUAUUUGCCGUUUACCCAUCUGACCAAAAACUGGGAUGGUGAUACUGUGAUGAACUGAACUGAUGACCUGCUGCAAAUUUCACUAGAGACAAAAACAAGAAGUGGUUCAUCACUUUUAAAGAUUUUUGUUUUUGAAUUCCAGAUGUCCCUGAGCAGGAGGGAUUUUCUUCUCUACAUCUGUGAUUGGAGAUGGUGGCUGAAGAUGACUGAGCUGGAACGAUGGUGGCAGAAGACGACUCCGAACACAUCUGAGAUUGGAGAUGGUGGCUGAAGACGACUCCGAGCAGGAGGGAUUUUCUUCUACAUCUGUGAUUGGAGAUGGUGGUUGAAGGUAAUUGAAAAUAUGAAUGACCUAAAUACAUAGAUGAGUAACCCUCACAUACUCUGCAAUAUGUGUGCGUGUGUGUGUGUGUGUGUGACAUGUAAAGUUGUUUUGUAACUACAACUUUACAAUGAUGACUUCCACAUUUAUGCCGUUUACCCAUCUGACCAAAAUCUGGGGUGGUGAUACUGUGAUGAACUGAAGUGCACCAUGCUACUAAUGGUUGCAUUGAUGACAAAAUAAGUGGUUCAUCACUUUAAAGAUUUUUGUUCUUGUAUUCUAGAUGACUGAGCUGGAACGAUGGUGGCAGAAGGUAAUUCAUAACAUGAGUAUUACUCGUCUACGCAUUUGCUAUGCAAUAUGUGUGUGUGUGGUAUUUAAAGUUGUGUUGUGACCACAGCUACAAACCUUAAGUAAAUCUCUUGUGCCAGAAAAAAAUGUCUUUAAUGCAGUCUUUACAAUGAUGACUCACAUAUUUGCCGUUUACCCAUCUGACCAAAAUCUGGGAUGGUGAUACUGUGAUGAACUGA